AUUUUCCCACUGUACAGCAAGGGGGUCAGGUCAUCCUUAGAUGUAUACAUUGCAGUUACAGUUUUUUCCCCCACCCUUUCUUCUGUUGCGACAUGAGUAUCUAGACAUAGUUCUCAAUGCUAUUCAGCAGGAUCUCCUUGUAUAUCUAUUCUAGGUUGUGUCUGAUAUACUUCAAUAAAAUAAAUUUUUAAAAAGAUGUCUACUGAAAGGAAACACCUAAACACAAUACGCACUAUAUUUUUGGGGUUUUUUUUUUUUGCUUUUUUACGGCCACACGCAUGGCAUAUGGAGGUUCACAGGCUGGGGGUCUAACUGGAGCUAUAGCUGCCGGCCUACACCACAGCCACAGCAACUCGGGAUUUGAACUGAAUGCUCAACUUACACCAUAGCUCACGGCAAUGCCAGAUCCUUAACCCACUGAGCGAGGCCAAGGAUCCUCCACCCCAAGUCUUCAUGGAUACUAGUCAGGUUUGUUUCCUCUGCGCCACGCAGGAACUCCCACAAUACAUCAUAUGAAUCUCUGGAAUAAAACAUGGGAUAAAAUCUCUGAAAUAGAAUGGAGAGGAAUACAUCUACUCAAAGAAAAGUGGUCUUAAAAGACUGAAUGAUAGGUUACUUAUCUCUGUGCACUUAACAUUGGUAUAACAACAAGUGGAUCUAAUGAGACGAAGUGAUGUGUUUUUAUCCCUAUGAAUGAAGUGUUUAUGAACACAAAUGCCUGUAUCUGGAGUGUUACUAGAAUACAAGCAAUUGCACCUAUUAAAACGAAAAAUUCAGAGACAAAACUUAAUGAAACAUUUUUCCCCUAUGAAUGCAUUGCUGGCAGAUCAGAAAUAAGCAUCUGCUGAAACAAACUGCCAUAAGCAACACUGAAUGAUGUUUUGUAUCUCUAUGAACGGAGUUUUGAUAAACCAAAAUGAAUACAUCUACUUAAAUAAGAAUGGUUUACACAAAAUCUAAGUUUACUUGGGAAAACUAUGUUAAAAAAAAAAACUGAAUCAGUGAGUUCCCACUGUGGCUCAGAUGGUUAAGAACCUGACAUACUAUCUGUGAGGAUUGGGUUCGAUCUCCAGCCUAGCUCAAUGGCGUAAGGAUCUGAUGUUGCUGCAAGCUGUGGCACAGGCUGCAGAUGCAGCUUGGAUCUGGUGUUGCUGUGGUGUAGGCCAGCAGCUGCAGCUCUGAUUUGACCCCUAGUCUGGGAACUUCCAUAUGCAGCAAGUGUGGUCAUAAAAAAGAAAAACAAACUGAAUUAGGCAGUUCUCUUGUGGAGCAGCAGGUUAAGGAUCCAGUGCUGCCACAUCUGCGGCACAUGCCACAACUGCACAGGUUUGAUCCCUGGCCUAGGAACUUCCAUAUGCUGCAGGAGCAGCCAAAAAAAGAAAAAAAUUUUGAAUUAUAGGAGUUCCAUGAUGGCUCAGCAGGUUAAGGUCCAGUGUUGUCACUACUGUUACUCAGGCUGCUGUCACGGUGUGGGUUUAAUCCCUGUCCUGGGAACUUCCGCAUGCCCCAGGUAUGGCCAAAAAAUUGUUCUUAAUUGAAUUGUUAUGCAUCUCUAUGAAAAGAGUGUAGAAAAAUAUCUUCAAUGAAAGGAUAAAGCAAAACAUAAAAGUGCAUGCUAUUAUCUAUGGAUGGAGUGUUCCAAAACAAAAAAUUUAUCACUAUCUUAAAUGAAAGAAGUAAAUACAAAACUGACAGAUUUUUGGUUCCCUUAAAUACCCAUCCCUGGGUCCUGUUAGAAGCCAGACCCCCUGGCACAGCUCACCUCAGAGAUAAGAGUCAGUUAAGUGAUAAGCCCAGGGACUGCCUGGGUACAUUCACAGCACUCGAGCCCUCCGGGCAGUCAAAACACCACCCGUGGUGCUUUCUUGUAACAUGCCAUCAGGAAACCACCUACACACACAGGCGCCGUCACAUCCUGUCACAUGGCCCCUUCAGGGGAUCAAAUUGCCAGUUCAGAGAUCAUCUGGUCAAAGUCAUGUCUGUCUGGCUAGGAUCAAAGCACUGAACUAAAGCUCUCUCCAGGUCAGUCCCAUUCUGUAAGUGCAACCUCCCAUCCACUAUCCCACAUCCUGCAUCCCUGCCCCUCAUCAACACGAACUCGCCCUACCCAGAGGACUAUAUGUUCCAUGAAAUCAGUCAGACACAGAAAGGCAAAUACUGCUAACGAUCUACUUGAUAUGGAAUCUAGAAAAAUUAAAUUCAGAAUUCCCUGGCAGCUUACUGGUUAAGGAUUCAUCAUUGUCACUGCUGUGACUCAGGUUUGAUCCCUGGCCUGGGGAACUUUUGCAUACCAUGGGGAUGGCCAAAAAAACCCCAAAAAGUUAAAUUCACAGAAACAGAGAGUAGGGUGGUGGUUGAGGGAAAUGGGGAGAUGUUGGUCAAAGGGCCCAAACUCAGUUACAGGAUGUGAAGACCUAACAUACAGCCUGGUGAGACUGUCAUUAACAAUAAUGUAUUAUAUCCCUGAAAUCUGCUAAGACAGUGGGUCUCAAAUGUUCUCAUCAGACACACACAAUGGUAACCAUGUGAGGUUGAUAGGGAUAGAGCAGGAUAAUUAAAUAGUUGAGAAAUCCCAAUAGGGGAUUAAAGAUAGAAAGGGAAUUUUAAGAAUUUGGGAGACCUUUGUAAGCUAAUGACCACUCAAGAAAAGAAUCCAGUAACCUAGCAACAAUCUGCACUACCUUAAAGGAGGAUCAGAUGCAUUCGAGUGCCAGGCACACCCAAGCCCACACAUCCCGAUAGUUAAAGCACAAGACAAUAGAUGUGGGGUCUGCAUCUUCUUAUGCAAAGUCAGGGAGUUAGCGGUCCUCGAAGAGCAGCAUUUCUGCAUGUAGCCAAGAUAGGAAUACAGGGGAAAGGGGAAAGAAACUCCAUGGUAGGGGACCUUACAGAGAAACUUGAGGUGAAUUACCUUAUUUUAGUGUACCACACUUGGCGUACAUGCGAUUUAAUAGCUAUGAUGGUCCUGGUUAGGCCAUAUAGGGUUAAAGAAGGAACUGAUGAGGUAAGUCUUAAUAUCUACCCAAGAAUGCUCACUCGCCAUUGUUCCUUUGAUUGUAAAAAUGUAGCCCUCUUUGAUCUCGGGGGGCGGGGGGGGGAACCUGUGGUUCUCACAAGCAUCCGAUGCUAAUAAGCCUACUCUGCCUGCCACGUUGCCUCAUGCUGAAUUCUUUCCACACUGAAACUAGAGAACCUGAGCUUCAGUAAGUCCAGCCACCAGGUGAGUGGUUUCACUUAAAAGACAGGGGUUUGAGUUCCCUCCUUAGUCAGGGAUCUUGGGUUCAAGUCCCAAUCUGAGGGGUGGCUGAGGUCGAGUCCUAUCUGAGAAGGACUUCAGUGAUGGCCAUGUUAAUCAGCUUCACUGCGGUAAACAUUUCACAAUAUAUACAAUAUACAUCAAAAUAUCACAUGGUGCACCUUACAAAUACAAAUAUAUAUAGUUUGUAUUUGUCAUACGUAUACCUCUAUAAAGCUGGGGCACGGACAAAGAAAUACAAUGCUGAUGUGCCCCGACCCUUUCCAGACAACCUGCUCUCCUAUCCUGUUCCUGGCACCACGCUCUCUACUCUUCCUGCUGAAAUGUGCAAAUCUCACAUAAAGUCCAACAGCUGACUCUUCUCUCAAUCUCACCCGAUUCUCAGUGCUAUUCUUAGCUAACUAAGCGUUAGGAAUACAGCAUGCAUGAACCCUGCCCAGAGGGGCCUGCGUUUUUUAAAAGGUACUUUUUAACCCAAAUAAAUCUUUAAUUCAAGGGUGAGUUGUGUUUUUGAGUGUUUCUGUUUGCAUGACAGUCCUCACAGAGGACAGCAAUACUAGGACUCCCUUCUAUGAAGUGGCCUAAAGGAGCUUCCUGGAGUUUCCAGUGUGGUUCAACGGGUUAUGAACCUGACUAGUAUCCAGGAGGACACAGGUUUGAUCCCUGGUCUGCUCAGUGGGUUAAGGAUCCGAUACUGCUGUGGCUGUGCUGUAGGCUGGCAGCUGCAGCUCUGAUUCAGCCCUUAGCCUGUAAAAAGAAAAGAAAAAAAUUUAAAAAAGGAAUGGCUUCCUUUUUGCUUCCCUAGCUUCCUCACUGAAUCCCCAGACACUAUUAUGGGUCGAUUUAUCUUGGGAAGUUUAUUAAAAACACAGAAUUGGAGUUCCCAUUGUGGCGCAGCAGAAACAAAUCCAACUAGGAACUAUGAGGUUACAGGUUCGAUCCCCUGGCCUCAGUCAGUGGGGUAAGGAUCCAGCAUUGCUGUGAGCUGUGGUGUAGGUCACAGACGUGGCUCGGAUCUGGUGUUGCUGUGGCUGUGGUGUAGGUUGGCAGCUGCAGCUCCAAUGAGACCCCUAGCCUGGAAACUUCCAUAUGCCGCAGGGCCUUUGCACUUGCUGUUCUCUCUGCCUGGCACACUUGUUCCCACAGCUCCCUCCCUCACCCUCUGUGGGCUUUGCUCAAUGACACCCUCUCGGGGAGAUCUUCUCAAGUUCUGCACCCAAUUCCAGUGGGUGCAGUGUUCCCCACCACCAAGCAACUCCCCAGACACCAGCUGGGUGCUCUACAAUUUGACUGACAACUAACCCUAUUGCUACCAAGCCAGGUUCAAUUUCCCCAUGUGCAGCCAGCCAACUGCUAAGAUGCUGAGGUUUGCAGCAGAGAAAGACUUUACUCACAAGGCAGCCAAGUGAGGAGCCGGCAGAACACGCCUCAGACCUGCCUCCUUAAAGGCGAGGUGUUUGGGUGUAUAUGGGAUAAAGACGCAGGGUGGCCUUAGCCAUGGGGAAGGGUGACGGGACACAGGGGGAAAAGGUGAGGUAAUCAGUGUCCCGAAAAGGCCUAUGAGUCACGUGUUUCUUCCUGAGACACGUGUUCAAAAGUGGAGGCAUUAGCAUGAUCUGAGGGUGGAGUUUGCAGUCCUCUGAUAUCAAAAAGUCAUUCAUCCAACACCUGCCCACGCCCAGUUUUAGGCUCGGUGGUCCCAACCAGUCUCAUCGAAAAUGAGCAGAGCCCUGUAGGGCCACCCCACUCGCAGGCCCCUUCAUGUGUUCUCACCUCCCAGCUUAAAAAAAAAAAAAAAAAUUCAAACUUUUAGUUUCCCUGGCCUCUCAAGUUUCAGAAAACAGACUCAAGCAAUUAAUCAUUUAAGAAGAGGCAAAAGCAGGAACUAAGAAAAGGCAGCUGAGCAAGGAAGGAGACAACAACUUAAGCAAUAAGUAAAACUCAAGCAUCAGGGUCAUAAGGCCCCAGUUCUCCUCGAGAAAAACAGAUAACAAGGUCUGACGCAUAUUCUUAAGUGUUUCUUACAGAAAUCAGACUCCUACAAGGGGGAAACUGCUGACCCUAAACCUGUAGACCACUGACUAGUUGGAGCUGGAAAACUGAUGAGAGAUUCCUGACAUACCACUACCCUCUACCAAUCAGAAAACCGUCCGUGAGGAGCUCCCUGGUAGUCUGUUGGUCAGGGCUUAGCACUUUCACUGCUU
rnacentral:lncRNA from 1 species